GUGCCAGCCGCCGCGGUAAUACCGGCAGCCCGAGUGAUGACCGAUCUUAUUGGGCCUAAAGCGUCCGUAGCUGGCUGCGCAAGUCCGUCGGGAAAUCCACUCGCUCAACGAGUGGGCGUCCGACGGAAACUGCACAGCUUGGGACCGAGAGACUCGACGGGUACGUCCGGGGUAGGAGUGAAAUCCUGUAAUCCUGGACGGACCACCAAUGGGGAAACCACGUCGAGAGACCGGACCCGACAGUGAGGGACGAAAGCCAGGGUCUCGAACCGGAUUAGAAACCCGAGUAGUCC
rnacentral:rRNA from 1 species